rnacentral:rRNA from 1 species
UACAGAGGGUGCGAGCGUUGUUCGGAAUUAUUGGGCGUAAAGCGCGAGUAGGCGGCCUGUUAAGUCGCGUGUGAAAGCUCCCAGCUCAACUGGGAAAGUGCGCGCGAAACUGGCGGGCUUGAGUGCCAGAGAGGGUGGCGGAAUUCCCGGUGUAGAGGUGAAAUUCGUAGAUAUCGGGAGGAACACCAGAGGCGAAGGCGGCCACCUGGAGGGACACUGACGCUGAGAAGCGAAAGCGUGGGGAGCAAACAGG